GGAGAGAUGUCCGAGUGGUCGAUGGUGACGGUCUUGAAAACCGUUGUGCGAAAGCACCGGGGGUUCGAAUCCCUCUCUCUCCGCCA
rnacentral:tRNA from 3 species